CGGCCAGAGCUGUGGUGCAUUGUAGUUGCAUUGCAUGUGUGUCUCAGCGGAGUGCAAUGCACCUGCAGUGCAACACGGAGCUGGGCCACG
ensembl:miRNA microRNA 33b